rnacentral:rRNA from 1 species
GUCUACAGCCAUGCCACCCUGAAUAAGCCGGAUCCCAUCUGAUCUUGAAAGCUAAGCAGAGUCGGGCCUGGAUAGUACUUGGAUGGAAGACCACCUAGGAAGACCAGGUGCUGUAGGCG